ACACCUCAACUCUCAUGGCUUGCCCAUGAUGAGCUUGGACUUUGGGGGUCUUGCUGGCCUGUGGGCCGGCUCCUCUCAAAUGAAUUAGCUUGCCAGUGUUUGGUGGGCAUCACAGGUGUGAUAACUAUCUACGCUUGUGGUCUUCCGCCAGGUAAUCUUCAGCAAUGAAGGUUCGCUGGAGCUCAUAAACGUCUCUCCUUGGUGGGGACAGAUUUGACC
rnacentral:misc_RNA from 1 species